rnacentral:snoRNA from 22 species
UUGAUACGAAAUAUUAAGCCUUCUAUUCACUGUGCCAUCUCUAUUUAUACUUCCGUAGAUGAUCAGAGGGGAAAAGAAGCGCAAGACUGAAAAACGCAAGCGUCCUCAUACUGAACAAGGUACUUUUCUUUUUUCAUUGGCCUUGGUUGGUAACUACGUGAGCGAGACAACC